GGGCCACGCGCGGUCGGGGGCGGGGCUUGGGCGCGGCCUCUUUUCUGGCGCUGCGGUAGUAGGUCGGUUUCCGCAUCCCGCCUCCUGCCUCUGGCUCGCAGUUUGGUCGCGUGUCCGAGCCACAUGUUUAUUGCAGAAAUAAUUGGAAACUGGAAAAAACUACGGAGAAGAAAAUAAAAAUAACCUGAGUUCCACCACAGAAGAUCACCGCUAUUAAUAUGAUGGCAUUUUUCCUUCCUUUUUACAGAAUCACACAUAUGUUUGAAACAAAACUGGGCUCGCACUGUAAAUAGUUUUGCAGUUUUCUCCUUUCAUGCAUGGCUAAUGACAAAUGUCCACUCAUCGUGCAGAGGGCUCAUCUACAAUGUUAUUGGUAAUGGCAGAGUGCUGUGUAGAGUCACCGUGUUUUGUUUAACCUAUAUGCUCUGGUUAGACAUUAAUCCUUGCUUCCUCCUUCCUUUAUGAUGAACCUUCUUAUGGUUAAAUCUUUGUGCAUGUUCACAAAAAUUCCUUAUGACAAAUCCCAAAUGUGGAAUUGCUGAGUCAAUGAAUAAAGUCACUAAUGCUU